UUAUACAUGUUAACAUCUGCUAGGAAGAAUCUCCACUCAGGUUAAAAAAAAAAAAAUUUGAAGCACCAUUAUUUCAGGUGAACUUUGUGUGUGUGUAUGUUGUUUUGUUUUUGCAAUUCUUCUCCGCUACUCUUCCAAAAAAGAAAACACAAAUUCAUUAGGUUUUGAUUGUUAAUAAAUCAGUUUGGGAGAAAACAUUUCCAGAUAUUUGAAUUACUCAUUCAAGGACAUUUCGUGUUUCUCCAUUUACUCAACUAUUAUCUAUCUAUGAAGAAAUCACAGAAGGUCAUAGAGGUUGUAUACUUUUCCUUUUGGGUUAUUUGACCAAGGAGAUGGUCACUCUUC
rnacentral:lncRNA from 1 species